GUGUUUCAGAGGUAUAUUCACUAAAAUUGGAACAACGCAGAGAUUAGCAUGGUCCCUGCACAAGGAUGGUACACCAAAAUUAAAUGAAUAAAAUAAAAAA
ensembl:snRNA U6 U6 spliceosomal RNA